rnacentral:rRNA from 1 species
UACGAAGGGUGCAAGCGUUACUCGGAAUUACUGGGCGUAAAGCGUGCGUAGGUGGUUUGUUAAGUCUGAUGCGAAAGCCCUGGGCUCAACCUGGGAAUUGCAUUGGAUACUGGCAGGCUAGAGUGCGGUAGAGGAUGGCGGAAUUCCCGGUGUAGCAGUGAAAUGCGUAGAGAUCGGGAGGAACAUCUGUGGCGAAGGCGGCCAUCUGGACCAGCACUGACACUGAGGCACGAAAGCGUGGGGAGCAAACAGG